rnacentral:rRNA from 1 species
CAAUAGCGUAUAUUAAAGUUGUUGCAGUUAAAAGCUCGUAGUUGGAUCUCGGGUCCAGGCUUGCGGUUCUGCUCAUGUAGACACUGCUCGUCCUGACCUACCUGCCGGUUUUCCCUUGGUGCCCUUCACUGGGUGUCUCGGGUGGCCGGAACGUUUACUUUGAAAAAAUUAGAGUGUUCAAAGCAGGCAGCUUGCCUGAAUAAUGGUGCAUGGAAUAAUAGAAAAGGACCUCGGUUCUAUUUUGUUGGUUGUCGGAACUUGAGGUAAUGAUUAAGAGGGACAGACGGGGGCAUUCGUAUUACGGUGUUAGAGGUGAAAUUCUUGGAUCGCCGUAAGACGAACUACUGCGAAAGCAUUUGCCAAGGAUGUUUUCAUUGAUCAAGAACGAAAGUUAGGGGAUCGAAGAUGAUUAGAU